CGAAAGCCUGACGGAGCAACGCCGCGUGUGGGAAGAAGGCUCUUGGGCUGUCAACCACUUUUCUCAGGGAAGAAGUUCUGACGGUACCUGAGGAAUCAGCAUCGGCUAACUCCGUGCCAGCAGCCGCGGUAAGACGGAGGAUGCAAGCGUUAUCCGGAAUUAUUGGGCGUAAAGCGUCCGCAGGUGGUGAGUCAAGUCUGCUGUCAAAGCCAGGAGCUCAACUCCUGUCCGGCAGUGGAAACUGACCCACUCGAGGGUGGUAGGGGUAGAGGGAAUUCCCAGUGUAGCGGUGAAAUGCGUAGAGAUUGGGAAGAACACCGGUGGCGAAAGCGCUCUACUGGGUCGCACCUGACCCUCAGGGACGAAAGCUAAGGUAGCG
rnacentral:rRNA from 1 species